rnacentral:rRNA from 1 species
AUUGAACGCUGGCGGCAUGCCUUACACAUGCAAGUCGAACGGCAGCACGGGAGCAAUCCUGGUGGCGAGUGGCGAACGGGUGAGUAAAGUAUCGGAACGUGCCCAGUCGUGGGGGAUAACGUAGCGAAAGUUACGCUAAUACCGCAUACGAUCUAUGGAUGAAAGCGGGGGAUCGCAAGACCUCGCGUGAUUGGAGCGGCCGAUAUCAGAUUAGGUAGUUGGGGGGGUAAAGGCUCACCAAGCCGACGAUCUGUAGCUGGUCUGAGAGGACGACCAGCCACACUGGGACUGAGACACGGCCCAGACUCCUACGGGAGGCAGCAGUGGGGAAUUUUGGACAAUGGGCGCAAGCCUGAUCCAGCCAUGCCGCGUGCAGGAUGAAGGCCUUCGGGUUGUAAACUGCUUUUGUACGGAACGAAAAGGUUUGACUUAAUACGUUGGACUCAUGACGGUACUGUAAGAAUAAGCACCGGCUAACUACGUGCCAGCCGCCGCUGUAA